rnacentral:tRNA from 1 species
UUCCUGGUGGCUCAGAUGUAAAGAAUCUGCCUGCAAUGCAGGAGACCUGGGUUCGAUCCCUGGUUUGGGAA